GCCUUGAAUUUCAAAGGUGAUGGAGUGUUUCAUGGCUCAGUGACCACAAUUUAGGAUGAUAGCUGCUGAAAUCAAGAUAUGGCUAAAACUUCACAGAAUUGUUCAGAAAUG